rnacentral:rRNA from 1 species
AAUGGGCGCAAGCCUGAUCCAGCCAUGCCGCGUGAGUGAUGAAGGCCUUCGGGUUGUAAAGCUCUUUCAGAUGGGACGAUGAUGACGGUACCAUCAGAAGAAGCCCCGGCUAACUUCGUGCCAGCAGCCGCGGUAAUACGAAGGGGGCUAGCGUUGUUCGGAAUUACUGGGCGUAAAGCGCGCGUAGGCGGCUUUGUCAGUCAGGGGUGAAAUCCCGGGGCUUAACCUCGGAACUGCCCUUGAUACUGCAAGGCUUGAGUCUGUGAGAGGAUGGUGGAAUACCCAGUGUAGAGGUGAAAUUCGUAGAUAUUGGGUGGAACACCAGUGGCGAAGGCGGCCAUCUGGCACAGUACUGACGCUGAGGUGCGAAAGCGUGGGGAGCAAA